rnacentral:rRNA from 1 species
AAUCAACGCUGGCGGCGUGCCUCAGACAUGCAAGUCGAACGAUUAAAGCUCUCUUCGGAGAGUGCAUAGAGUGGCGCACGGGUGAGUAACACGUAAGUAAUCUACCUUCGAGUGGGGAAUAACAGUCGGAAACGACUGCUAAUACCGCAUAAUGCAGCGGCAUCGCAAGAUGACAGUUGUUAAAGGAGCAAUUCGCUUGAAGAGGAGCUGCGGCAGAUUAGCUAGUUGGUAAGGUAAUGGCUUACCAAGGCUACGAUCUGUAACCGGUCUAAGAGGACGGUCGGUCACACUGACACUGAAUAACGGGUCAGACUCCUACGGGAGGCAGCAGUCGGGAAUUUUGGGCAAUGGGCGAAAGCCUGACCCAGCAACGCCGCGUGAAGGAUGAAGUAUUUCGGUAUGUAAACUUCGAAAGAAUGGGAAGAAUAAAUGACGGUACCAUUUAUAAGGUCCGGCUAACUACGUGCCA